rnacentral:rRNA from 1 species
GACGAACGCUGGCGGCGUGCUUAACACAUGCAAGUCGAACGGACAGGCCCUGCUCUUGUGGGGUGCUCGUUUGGCGCACGGGUGAGUAACACGUGAGUAACCUGCACUUGACUUUGGGAUAACUUCAGGAAACUGGGGCUAAUACCGGAUAGAAGCUUCUGCUGCAUGGUGGUGGUUGGAAAGUUUCGGCGGUUGGGGCUGGACUCGCGGCUUAUCAGCUUGUUGGUGGGGUAGUGGCUUACCAAGGCUUUGACGGGUAGCCGGCCUGAGAGGGUGACCGGCCACAUUGGGACUGAGAUACGGCCCAGACUCCUACGGGAGGCAGCAGUGGGGAAUAUUGCACAAUGGGCGGAAGCCUGAUGCAGCAACGCCGCGUGCGGGAUGACGGCCUUCGGGUUGUAAACCGCUUUCGCCUGUGACGAAGCGUGAGUGACGGUAAUGGGUAAAGAAGCACCGGCUAACUACGUG